rnacentral:rRNA from 1 species
UACAGAGGGGGGCAAGCGUUAUUCGGAAUUAUUGGGCGUAAAGGGCGCGUAGGCGGCUUGGCAAGUGGAUGGUGAAAUCCCUCGGCUUAACCGAGGAACUGCCGUCCAAACUGCUUCGCUUGAGACCGGGAGAGGUGAGUGGAAUUCCCAGUGUAGCGGUGAAAUGCGUAGAUAUCGGGAAGAACACCCGUGGCGAAGGCGGUUCUCUGGGACGGUACUGACGCUGAGACGCGAAAGCGUGGGGAGCGAACAGG